rnacentral:rRNA from 1 species
GACGUAGGGCGCGAGCGUUGUCCGGAUUUAUUGGGCGUAAAGAGCUCGUAGGCGGCUCAUUGCGUCAACCGUGAAAUCCUGCUGCUCAACGGCAGGUCUGCGGUUGAUACGGGUGGGCUGGAGUUCGGUAGGGGAGACUGGAAUUCCUGGUGUAGCGGUGAAAUGCGCAGAUAUCAGGAGGAACACCGGUGGCGAAGGCGGGUCUCUGGGCCGAUAUUGACGCUGAGGAGCGAAAGCGUGGGGAGCGAACAGG